AAUAAUCGAGCCUGACCUCUCUGCCCUCCUGUUUCCUACCCAUCACAUGGUCGCUCACCUUCUGUGUCCACACCACUGACCGGAGGUUGGGGCCUGUCCAGACCCGUCACUGGCUGGGGAGAGAGGGCAGGACCUAAUACAAGUCACCCCUCCCGCCCGGCAACAACGCACCCCAUCCCGUACUCAAAGAGCACGGCUCCGAGGCGGCAGCGGAGAUGAGUGAAGAUGGCAUUGGUGUCACUUGGCAGCCAUUCAUGGGCACCGCUCCCCCCCCCGCCUUCGACCACAUGGGGGAUAUGCAGAGAGACAGAGGCGGAGAGACAAGGAGCCCCAGGAGGCUGCCAACAUAUCCCACCCCUCACAACCUGCACAGGAGGCCUGCAACCCCUCUCACUUCCAUCCACUGGGAUGCCGACAGCUGGAAGAUACGCUACAGUGACUGUGAACU